GGUUGAGGUCGUGUCCUCGCUGGGCCCCCGGUGGGUCCGAGGGGAGGUUCCCCCAGCCUGCGGCGGGGCCUGGCCUCUCCCGUCCCGGCGGAAGGUGCGAACCCCCCCAGACCUACUUCUCCCUGCAGGGCGGCGGGUGACCCGACUGGAGGCCCUGACCCAGAGUCCAGGUCUGUAUCUGAAGCGCUCAGCAAUAAAGGUGGCUGUGCUGCAGAGUGCCUGUUAGGCUCAGACUCCCAGGCCAGGCCCAGACACAGUUCCUGGAACGUUCGAGGCACCACUGACAAAGACCUUACUACCCAAGGUGCUGGACUGAUGGAGCUGGAAGGUCCCCAGACCCCGUU